rnacentral:rRNA from 1 species
AACGUAGGAGACAAACGUUAUCCGGAGUUACUGGGCGUAAAGGGCGUGUAGGUGGUAUCGUAAGUCUGGCGUGAAAUUUCUCGGCUUAACCGAGGCAGGUCGUCGGAUACUGCGAGACUAGAGGACGGUAGAGGCGUGUGGAAUUCCGGGUGUAGUGGUGAAAAUGCGUAGAGAUCCGGAGGAACACCAGUGGCGAAGGCGACACGCUGGGCCGUACCUGACACUGAGGCGCGAUAGCAUGGGGAGCAAACAGGG